GACGUAGGGACCGAGCGUUGUCCGGAUUCAUUGGGCGUAAAGAGCUCGUAGGCGGCCACUCAAGUCGAAUGUGAAACCUCGAGGCUUAACCUCGAGCCUGCAUUCGAUACUGGGCGGCUAGAGUCUGGUAGGGGGAUCUGGAAUUCCUGGUGUAGCGGUGGAAUGCGCAGAUAUCAGGAGGAACACCGGUGGCGAAGGCGGGAUCCUGGGCCAGUACUGACGCUGAGGAGCGAAAGCGUGGGGAGCAAACAGG
rnacentral:rRNA from 1 species